GAAAUUUAAAACAAGUACAAAUCGUUCUACUUUUUUAGGGUGAAUUCAGUCUAACAAUGAAUGAGCGUUUCAACGUUGAUGGGGGUUAUGUAGGGAUUCUGGAAUGGAUUCUUGGCAGGAGAGAUGGAAUGUGGAUGGGUUUUCUUACUCGCAAAGUUCUGGAAAAUGCUACCAGUUAUGAGGAUGCCAAAGACCAGCUCUCUCAGACGAAACUGCUUGCUCCUGCUUACUUCAUCUUGGGUGGUAACUGAACGGGCCAGGGUUGUGUGAUAACCAGGACGAGAAUAAACACAUUAGACAUCUGGGAACUUGAUAUGAAGCUUGGGAGAUGGUACGUCCUGGAAACAAACUAUGAUCACUGGGAAAAGCCUAUGAUAUUUGAUGACCGUAGAACUCCGGCAAUGAAGUGCAUGAAUCAAACCACACAAGCGAACAUUUCUCUGGCAUCAAUAUAUGAUGUUCUGUCAACAAAACCAGUUCUUAAUAAAUUGACAACCUACACCUCACUGAUGGAAGUGUCUACUGGUACUCUGGAGUCCUAUAUCAGAGAUUGUCCAAAUCCAUGUACGCCAUGGUGAUCUGCCAUCAAAUCUGAAUGAACUAAGGCAUAUGAAAUACUAUUCUGGAUCUCUGUUAUUACAGGGCCGGUGUAUAAGAAAAGGAGCUUGUUAAAAAUCGUAUUGAUUGCAAUUCUACCUCUGAACCUGCGCGUAUCUCUUCUCAUGGACACGUGUGUUAUAACUGCUUUACCACUGCAAACGUUGUGCAAUUGUGCAAAAGUAGAACUGUUUGUUUUACAUAACAAACUCUGAAUGACCACACAUUUUAAAUGGAUUUUUUUUAAUGUUAGAUGUCAGUAAGAAGUUAAUUUCUUUGUGUUGCCUUUUUCUUUAAUAUUUUGAUGAUAUAAAGUAAUCUGUUUUUCUGAAAUCCUUGGAA